rnacentral:rRNA from 1 species
CGCACACAGAGGGAGGCGAAGAGGUGACUCGGAGCAGACCCCAAAAAAGGCGCCUCAGUUCGGAUUGCAGCCUGCAACUCGGCUGCAUGAAGCUGGAAUCGCUAGUAAUCGCGGAUCAGAAUGCCGCGGUGAAUACGUUCCCGGGUCUUGUACACACCGCCCGUCAAGCCAUGGGAGCCGGGGGCGCCUGAAGUCCGGGACCGCGAGGACCGGCCUAGGGCGAAACUGGUAACUGGGGCUAAGUCGUAACAAGGUAUC